AGAAUCAACGCUGGCGGCGUGCCUAACACAUGCAAGUCGAACGAGAAAGGGGAGCAAUCCCUGAGUAAAGUGGCGACCGGGUGAGUAACACGUGACUAACCUACCUUCGAGUGGGGGAUAACCUCGGGAAACCGAGGCUAAUACCGCAUAACAUCGUGAGAUCAAAGCAGUAAUGCGCUGGAAGAGGGGGUCGCGGCUGAUUAGCUAGUUGGCGGGGUAAUGGCCCACCAAGGCGAAGAUCGGUAGCCGGCCUGAGAGGGCGCACGGCCGACACUGGAACUGAAACACGGUCCAGACUCCUACGGGAGGCAGCAGUGGGAAUUUUGCGCAAUGGGGGAAACCCUGACGCAGCAACGCCGCGUGGAGGAUGAAGUCCCUUGGGACGUAAACUCCUUUCGACCAAGACGAUAAUGACGGUACUGGUGGAAGAAGCACCGGCUAACUCUGUGCCAGCAGCCGC
rnacentral:rRNA from 1 species